rnacentral:rRNA from 1 species
GAUACUGUCAUAUCAUCUCUGAGCGAGAGCUUUACGAUCCUAGACUUCAUCACUCACGCGGCAUGACUAGAUCAAGCUUGCGCCCAUUGUCUAAGAUUCCUA